rnacentral:misc_RNA from 1 species
UACGGAGGGUGCAAACGUUGCUCGGAAUCAUUGGGCGUAAAGCGCACGUAGGCGGUUCGUUAAGUCGGAUGUGAAAGCCCUGGGCUCAACCCAGGAAGUGCAUUCGAAACUGGCGGACUUGAGUACGGGAGAGGGUUGCGGAAUUCUCGGUGUAGAGGUGAAAUUCGUAGAUAUCGGGAGGAACACCUGUGGCGAAGGCGGCAGCCUGGACCGAUACUGACGCUGAGGUGCGAAAGCGUGGGGAGCAAACAGG